UACGUAGGCAGCGAGCGUUGUUCGGAGUUACUGGGCGUAAAGGGUGUGUAGGCGGUUGUUUAAGUUUGGUGUGAAAUCUCCCGGCUCAACUGGGAGGGUGCGCCGAAUACUGAAUGACUUGGAGUGCGGGAGAGGAGAGUGGAAUUCCGUGGUGUAGCGGUGAAAUGCGUAGAUAUCAGGAGGAACACCGGUGGUGUAGACGGCUCUCUGGACCGUAACUGACGCUGAGACACGAAAGCGUGGGUAGCAAACAGGAUAGAUACCC
rnacentral:rRNA from 1 species